CGGCCCGGCCCGGCGCUGGCGGAGAAGGGCGGCCCCGCGCGCCGGGAGGGAGCUUUUAAAGCGACACACACGCCGCCCAGCGCCGAGCGCGCCCGCCGGGGGCUCGGCUCCGAGUGACGCUGCGGGCCCCGCGCCCCGGGCCGGAGGCGCCCUCGCCGGGAGCGACCCCGCGGGACCCCGGCCCCCCCCCCCCGCCCCGUGACCCCGCCCCCCCCGCGGGGCGCCCGAGCGCCUCUUUGGCCUGAGCCUUCCGCACCCAGACCUUUCCCUCUGCCCCUUCCCACACCCCAACCCACCCCAGGCCUCGCCUGGAAGCAGAGAAUUUCAGGAAUCUCAGAAAUCUCAGAACACUGACAGGCUUUCCUGAGCACCUACUGCGCGCCGAGCUCUGCGCAAGGCCCCGCGGGGAGCUGGAGGCCCUGGCGACAGGAAGACUCGAGUCCUCUGAGCAGACUCCAGACUGGAGCAGGAAUUCCCAGUGUCUCCCCAGAGCGUUACUCUCAAGACCACGUUCCAAGGUGCUGAGCACGUGGAUGGGUGAUCCUGGGGGCAGGGGGUGCGUCCAGACCAUGCCUGCAACAUGCGGGCCCUUUGGGGUCUGUGGCGGGAGGGGGGGUCAUACUUUUUAACUCAGAUAAUUUAGUCCCUGACUCUCUGGUGUAUUCCCCAUGUGUGGCUCUCAAAACUUAACUUUUCUCUUUAAUGUUUAUUUUAGAAAAUCAGGAACAUACAAAUAAACAGAACUAAAAAAUAUGUAUACGUCCCGCCAGAAACAACCCAAAGUGGUUGAAUGAAUGGAAAGCUGUUCAUUCAGGAACUCUCAUCGCUUGGAAGACUUGUCUCCACAUUGGCUGUGGAAGAGGAGGGGAGAUGGCCCAUGCUGUAGCUGUGCAAGCAAGGGCCGGGGACCGCAGCUCCCGUAGGAUCCACCCCCACACUGCCCCAGAGUGUUCCCAGCCUCCGUGUCCGUCUCAGCCUCUCCUCCAGGCCAACCUCCCUGCCUCCCUCCCUCCUAUUUCUCUGAUCCUGGUGCCUCUCUCUGCAUCCUGCUCAGGAGCCAAAUGACUUCUUUUUCUUAUCUCAUGCUGAAUGGUUUGCAACCAUCAUCUCACGAAACAGUUGACCGAGGUUUUUUUUUUUUUUUUUUCUAAACAAAGACAGUUUCCCAUCUGAGAACAAUUUCUGGUGCCAACUGUGAAGAUAAACUAUCUUUACCUUGUUUUAUGAACACAUAUUUUUUAGAAAGAGAGGGUUAUUCUAUAAAUGCUGAUAUCAAACCUGCUUUUGUUCAUUAACAAUGUAGCAUCUGCAUAUUUGUAUGCCCGUCGAGAAAUCUAUAUGUGCUGUUUUAAUGGCUGCAUAUUAGUCCAUGUGAUUUUUAAAAAUUUUUAUUUAUUUAUUCAUGGUAGACAGAGAGAAAGAGACAGGCAGAGGGAGAAGCAGGCUUCAUGCCGGGAGCCCGACGCAGGACCCGAUUCGGGACUCCAGGAUCAUGCCCUGGGCCAAAGGCAGGCGCUAAACUGCUGAGCCACCCAGGGAUCCCAAUCCAUGUGAUUUUUUUUUUUUUUUUUUUAGUCCAUGUGUUUUUUUUAAAUCUCUCUCUCUCUCUCUCUCUUUUGCUAUGCACUUAGGCUGUUUCUAGUUUUUGCUAUUAUAACAGCACACAUCAUCCUUGCACAUUAUUUCCUUAGGUUCUUAAAAGUAAAAUUUCUGAGAAGGCACUUUCCAAAGGCUAUUGUCAUAUCAUUGAACUACUCUUUUUUUCUUUUUUAAUUGAACUUCUCUUCAGAAAGUUCAUGCUGAUUUGUAUUCUCGGCAGCAGCUUGUGUUAUUGCCCCCUUACUAUUCGUUCUAGCUUUGUCUCAGUUAUGCUCCAAGGUGCCACAGGAGGACCCCCGUGGCCGCUUUGGUGACACACGGCAACCAGUGAGUGACUCCUUGAAGGAUGAAGAGACUCGGGAACAAGAAUGGGGGCCAUGUGACCCACCUGCCCCUCCUAUAUAUCCUUUGAUGGCCUCCGUGGAGGGAUUUGAAAUUGAUUGAUUGAUUGAACUAUUGAUUUUAUGAAGGAAAAUACUAUGUCCCUUCCAGUGAUGGUGAUGGUCACCAGUGCAGUGUAGUGAUGGUAAUGAUGGGGGCCAUGCGGUGAGUGGCAGGUAAGGGUGGAGGUGAUGGGGAGUGCAGCGUUGUCAUGGAGCCGGUGGGGGUGGCACCGCCCACAGGAAGGCCCAUCACAGUGGUGGCAGUGGGGACCGCGGUGGCAGGGAGGUGAGCCCAAUGGUGAUGGAGGCCGUGAGGCCAUGAGGGCAGCAGUAGCGGAGAAUUGGAGGUGUCCCUGUGGUGGUGCAGGCUGCUGUGGAAAAGUGCAGACGGAGGUGGUGUAAGUGACAGUUAGAGUAUGCUACAGGAUUACACAGAUAUACCACCGGGGAAGAGGUUAUCUCAGACCUGGGGAACAGUGUGAACAAAAGAAGCAGCGUGAGACUAGUGCCAAGAAAAGUGAGGAGAUCCACUGGCCAGCAGGGUGGUCAAGGAGAAAUUUCAUGGUGGUUGGUGCUGGGGAGUGUCUGGAAAGGGGCAAGAGAAAUUUGGACUCCAGGAGGGCAGUGGAGAGACAUUUUGGAUCCUGGGGUGAAGGUGGACCGGAGACGAGUUCCCUGUAGGACAAAGGAGGAGAAUCUGAGGAGCUGAGCAGUCAGCCACACUGCUGAACUCGAAGGGGAGCAGCAGGUGGACUAGACCCUCCAGGGUGCCUGUGAGCAUCCAGGGGCCGCCAGCAGCUCGCAGGAAAAGGGGGAAGGGUCCACGGCACUGGGUCCGACCCACAGGGGGAAGGGCCCCUGACCCUGGCCACUCCUGUGCCAGCCCCAACCAGCAAACCCCACUCUCACCUUUGAUGGAGCGGGAGAAAGGUCUAGACCAGUGGUUCCGGCCGCCCCCACCUCUCCCGCAGCAGCUCCCAGCACCCACCGUGAGUCUUAUAGACAUUUACUCGGUAGCGCUGCCUGGGAAGAGGCCCUCUCCUGCUUCCCUGGAUGUAGCACGAAGCCUGCUUUGACGUGUGCACAAAGCUGCAGGAUUCUUUCUUUCAGGGCAAGGACACCUGGAAAAUCUCAGGGAGGCAGAACGCUGGUAUCUGAGCAGCCGCAUCCUGAGGAUGAGGGGUUACUCCCUCCCUGGGGCUGGGGCUGGUCUCCUCUCCCGCGGCCUGCUGUCCUCCUCACUCCUACACAGAAGCCCCUGGAGCCGGUGGGUGAUCUCUAGGCGAGAACGCGAAACAUACUUUUUCUCCCAUUUUAACGAUCUCAGUGACCUCACAAGGUUUCCAUGGUGACAAGACCAAGGAGUCAGGGGGGCCUUGGUGAAUUAGGCCAAACACACCCACCCCCCAGGACCUUCUUCCUGGUGCUGGGCUUCGGGAGUGGACUCUAGAUCAUCAGCCAGCAGCAGAGGGAAGGUCAUUCUAGGCACCAGGGCAGAUGAGGCGACUGAGGGAGGUGGAAAGGGCACAGCGAAGGGGCUGCGAGGAGAUUAGCACCUGGUGAGGAAUUGGGGGCUUGCCAUCUGAAGCUUGGCUUUGCAGGGAGCAGCCAGGGCCCAGGGCCCAAGGACACAGGCUGUGGAGUCCAAGUGACCCAGGUGUGAGUGACACCCACGUCCAAUGGCUGCGCAUCUCCCGAACGUUGCAGUCAAGGCACCUAGCGAGUACUUGAUACAUUCCUGUUUUCUCCCUCCUGCCCUUUCCAUCGUCUGCACCACUGGGCCACCGCAGCUUCCUGAGUGGUUUGAAGUGCCACAUUGCCCCCCACCCCGAAUUUCUUGCCUUCAGGCACUGAAUAAUUCAAUCUUUACAUAGCACAGCGAUUGAAAUGCCCCAUCCGUGGUCCUACUGCUGGAAAUUCCACCACAGAAGCCCCACGGCUUUGCACCCAACCUCCCUGUAAAUGGCACCCUCUUACCUGGGAGGUGAUUCGUCCCAUCUUUGGUCCCUGGACAGGGGCAGUAGUGCUGGGGGAUGGGGACAGCAGGUUUUUUCUUUUUUUUCUUUUCUUUUCUUUCUUUUCUUUUCUUUCUUUCUUUCUUUCUUUCUUUUCUUUCUUUCUUUCUUUUUUAGUGCAGAUGGAGCCUGUGAGUGAGGGCGAAAGAGAAAGAGAAAGCAAACGAGAGAGUUUGCUCCCCUGAAAUCUUGGCCAGCGGUCAUGGCUUUGGCUGCGGAAUUUCUCUGAGGGAGAGUGAUGGAAAGCCCAGAGAUUACCGAGCAUCUGAGAGGAGUCAGACAUGGACAUCGUGCCACACUUUGCACCGUGGAAAACGGCAGAGAAAUCUAUAAGCUUGGCUUUCGGAGAAUAGGUCCCGGAGGUUCUCUGGGGAAGUCAGCUUUUAUGAAGCCUGAAGAACGAUUUGUAAUCAGCCCAUCAAAUAUUCAGAAAGACUUUUUCACCUAGAAUCUCACUUGCUGGGAGUCUGUGGCCUGUAGUGGCUAUGGAUUCUCCGUCAGCAUCUGCAGUCCUCUACCCCAUGUCCGAGGCAGCCUGGAUCUCCCAGUGGGCAAAUCCCACCUCUCAAUGGCUCCAGGCCCACCGCAUCCUUGGGAGGCAUCUGGGUCUCACUGUCCUGAGCUGCUGUCUUCUGGGACGACCGGGAAUCGGGCCCACUGGCCUGGGUCUUCUGCUAACAGGGCAGCUUCCAGCCCAAGCCUAACAGUUGCCAAUCCUGGGAGCUCUACGAGACACCCUCCUCCUCCUCCUGUCUCUGCUCUCUCCAGCUCCAUCCUGUGUCCCAUCCCCCCCACCACCACCCAAGGCCUGGAUCUUAUUCUUGAACUUCGAGUGCCCUUGGGCUGCUUCUUCACUCCAUUUGCUCAGGAUGUGCAGAAUCACUGAAGAGAAUUCAUGUUGGGUGUAGGGGAAUAGGUGAAGGGAAUGAAGAGUACACUUGUCUGGGUGAGCACUGAGUAAUAUAUGAAAGUGUUGAACUGCUACAUUGUACGCCUGAAACAACUAUACCACUGUCCGUUACCUACACUGGAAUUAAAAAAAAAAUCACAUUGGGGAUUUUUUCUUUUCUCUUUUACAUUUCCUAACUGGAUUUUGCUAGUAUAUUUCUUGAUACCCGCCAUCUUGCUGACCUCCUCCAUAGUCUCUUUCUUGUUUUUCAGUUUAUUCUCUGGAGUGUUCUGGAUAAACAAUCAUAUCAUGAACAAAUAACGAUAGCGAUUUCUCCUUCUUCCUGAAUGUUAUGCUUCUUUUUAUUUGCAUUUUUAAUGUACUAUUGCAUUAGCUAGAACUUCCAGAACAAUGCAGACUAAUUGUGGUAAUAGCAGGCAAUCCCAUCCCACUCUGCCUUAAAUAUGAGCACCUCUCUGCGUUUUUAUCGCCAAGAAUGUUGUUGUUGACUGUUGGUCGCGGACAGGUUUUUUUUUUUUUUUAUGAUGUUGAGAAAAUGUUCUUUUAUUUUUAUUUCAC